rnacentral:rRNA from 1 species
UACGAAGGGGGCUAGCGUUGUUCGGAAUUACUGGGCGUAAAGCGCGCGCAGGCGGUCUUCCAAGUCAGUGGUGAAAGCCUGGAGCUCAACUCCAGAACUGCCAUUGAAACUGAGGAUCUUGAGUUCGGGAGAGGUGAGUGGAACUGCGAGUGUAGAGGUGAAAUUCGUAGAUAUUCGCAAGAACACCAGUGGCGAAGGCGGCUCACUGGCCCGAUACUGACGCUGAGGCACGAAAGCGUGGGGAGCAAACAGG